GAUGAACGCUGGCGGCGUGCCUAACACAUGCAAGUCGAACGGAAAGGCUCCUGCUUGCAGGGGUACUCGAGUGGCGAACGGGUGUGUAACACGUGGGUGAUCUGCCCUGCACUUCGGGAUAAGCCUGGGAAACUGGGUCUAAUACCGGAUAGGACGAUGGUUUGGAUGCCAUUGUGGAAAGUUUUUCGGUGUGGGAUGAGCUGGCGGCCUAUCAGCUUGUUGGUGGGGUAAUGGCCUACCGAGACGUCGACGGGUAGCCGGGCUGAGAGGUUGUACGGCCCCAUAGGGACAGAGAGAGGGGCCAAACUGGUACUAAGGGGAGCAGUGGGGAAAACUGCAAAAUGAAGGCAGGCCUGAUGCAGCGGCACCCGGUGGGGGAUAGUUGGCUUCGUGGUGUAAACUCCUUUCGCUAGAAACGAAGCGUUUUGUGACGGUACCUGGUGAAGAAGCACCGGCUAACUACGUG
rnacentral:rRNA from 1 species